UUUUAUGCUUGCAUAAAUGAUUUUUGGAUUCGGAGCGAGUGGCGAACUGGUGAGUAACACGUGGGUAACCUGCCCCGAAGCGGGGGAUAACAUUUGGAAACAAGUGCUAAUACCGCAUAAUUAGUUGGAACCGCAUGGUUCCAACUUGAAAGAUGGCUCUGCUAUCACUUUGGGAUGGACCCGCGCCGUAUUAGUUAGUUGGUGAGAUAAAAGCCCACCAAGACGAUGAUACGUAGCCGACCUGAGAGGGUAAUCGGCCACAUUGGGACUGAGACACGGCCCAGACUCCUACGGGAGGCAGCAGUAGGGAAUCUUCCACAAUGGACGAAAGUCUGAUGGAGCAACGCCGCGUGAGUGAUGAAGGUUUUCGGAUCGUAAAACUCUGUUGUUAAAGAAGAACAAGUGUUAGAGUAACUGUUAACACUUUGACGGUAUUUAACCAGAAAGCCACGGCUAACUACGUGCCAGCAGCCGCGGUAAUACGUAGGUGGCAAGCGUUGUCCGGAUUUAUUGGGCGUAAAGCGAGCGCAGGCGGUUUUGUAAGUCUGCUGUGAAAGCCCUCAGCUCAACUGAGGAAGUGCAGUGGAAACUACAAAACUUGAGUACAGAAGAGGAAAGUGGAACUCCAUGUGUAGCGGUGAAAUGCGUAGAUAUAUGGAAGAACACCAGUGGCGAAGGCGGCUUUCUGGUCUGUUACUGACGCUGAGGCUCGAAAGCAUGGGUAGCGAACAGGAUUAGAUACCCUGGUAGUCCAUGCCGUAAACGAUGAAUACUAGGUGUUUGGAAGGGUUUCCGCCCUUCAGUGCCGCAGCUAACGCAUUAAGUAUUCCGCCUGGGGAGUACGACCGCAAGGUUGAAACUCAAAGGAAUUGACGGGGGCCCGCACAAGUGGUGGAGCAUGUGGUUUAAUUCGAUGCUACGCGAAGAACCUUACCAGCUCUUGACAUCUUCUGCCAACCCAAGAGAUUGGGCGUUCCCUUCGGGGACAGAAUGACAGGUGGUGCAUGGUUGUCGUCAGCUCGUGUCGUGAGAUGUUGGGUUAAGUCCCGCAACGAGCGCAACCCUUAUUAUUAGUUGCCAGCAUUUAGUUGGGCACUCUAGUGAGACUGCCGGUGAUAAACCGGAGGAAGGUGGGGACGACGUCAAAUCAUCAUGCCCCUUAUGAGCUGGGCUACACACGUGCUACAAUGGAUGGUACAACGAGUCGCGAAACCGCGAGGUCAAGCUAAUCUCUUAAAGCCAUUCUCAGUUCGGAUUGCAGGCUGCAACUCGCCUGCAUGAAGUUGGAAUCACUAGUAAUCGUGGAUCAGCAUGCCACGGUGAAUACGUUCCCGGGCCUUGUACACACCGCCCGUCACACCAUGAGAGUUUGUAACACCCA
rnacentral:rRNA from 1 species